rnacentral:tRNA from 1 species
ACUUUUAAAGGAAAAUAGUUAUCCAAUGGCCCUAGGAACCAAAAUUCUUGGUGCAAAUCCAAGUAAAAGUAAUG